rnacentral:rRNA from 1 species
UACGAAGGGGGCUAGCGUUGCUCGGAAUCACUGGGCGUAAAGGGUGCGUAGGCGGGUCUUUAAGUCAGGGGUGAAAUCCCGGAGCCCAACUUCGGAACUGCCCUUUGAUACAGCACGUCUUGAGUCCGAUAGAGGUGGGUGGAAUUCCUAGUGUAGGAGGUGAAAUUCGUAGAUAUUAGGAAGAACACCGGUGGCGAAGGCG